rnacentral:rRNA from 1 species
AGAGUUUGAUCAUGGCUCAGAUUGAACGCUGGCGGCAGGCCUAACACAUGCAAGUCGAGCGGUAGCACAGAGAGCUUGCUCUCGGGUGACGAGCGGCGGACGGGUGAGUAAUGUCUGGGAAACUGCCUGAUGGAGGGGGAUAACUACUGGAAACGGUAGCUAAUACCGCAUAACGUCGCAAGACCAAAGUGGGGGACCUUCGGGCCUCAUGCCAUCAGAUGUGCCCAGAUGGGAUUAGCUAGUAGGUGGGGUAACGGCUCACCUAGGCGACGAUCCCUAGCUGGUCUGAGAGGAUGACCAGCCACACUGGAACUGAGACACGGUCCAGACUCCUACGGGAGGCAGCAGUGGGGAAUAUUGCACAAUGGGCGCAAGCCUGAUGCAGCCAUGCCGCGUGUGUGAAGAAGGCCUUCGGGUUGUAAAGCACUUUCAGCGGGGAGGAAGGCGGUGAGGUUAAUAACCUCAUCGAUUGACGUUACCCGCAGAAGAAGCACCGGCUAACUCCGUGCCAGCAGCCGCGGUAAUACGGAGGGUGCAAGCGUUAAUCGGAAUUACUGGGCGUAAAGCGCACGCAGGCGGUCUGUCAAGUCGGAUGUGAAAUCCCCGGGCUUAACCUGGGAACUGCAUUCGAAACUGGCAGGCUAGAGUCUUGUAGAGGGGGGUAGAAUUCCAGGUGUAGCGGUGAAAUGCGUAGAGAUCUGGAGGAAUACCGGUGGCGAAGGCGGCCCCCUGGACAAAGACUGACGCUCAGGUGCGAAAGCGUGGGGAGCAAACAGGAUUAGAUACCCUGGUAGUCCACGCCGUAAACGAUGUCGAUUUGGAGGUUGUGCCCUUGAGGCGUGGCUUCCGGAGCUAACGCGUUAAAUCGACCGCCUGGGGAGUACGGCCGCAAGGUUAAAACUCAAAUGAAUUGACGGGGGCCCGCACAAGCGGUGGAGCAUGUGGUUUAAUUCGAUGCAACGCGAAGAACCUUACCUGGUCUUGACAUCCACAGAACUUUCCAGAGAUGGAUUGGUGCCUUCGGGAACUGUGAGACAGGUGCUGCAUGGCUGUCGUCAGCUCGUGUUGUGAAAUGUUGGGUUAAGUCCCGCAACGA